AUUUUCCCGGCAAAUUGUUUUCAUCAGGCGGCGAAAAAAUUCAUUUAUCCUCCCGUAUACAUCAAUAAACAAAAACACCCCUCUCUCUCUCUCUCUGGAAUCCAUAUGAAACCCUAACCGUCUCUAAGUCCAAACAAGAAUUUUUCGGGAGCUUCGUUUUGGCGAGUUUCACCUUCAGAGGAAAAUUUCCCAGGUGCAUCUCUGUUCAUCUCUGAACUCUCAUCUCUAUUCAUCUCUGAACUCUAGUCUCUGUUCUUCUCCUCGAUCUUUUCCUUCUCUGAACCCUCAUCUAUAACCCCUAGAAGAUACCAUCAUCUGUAGGCUGACCAGAAUUGAGAAUCUUAAUCCGACGAAGACAGGCGACCGACGAAGACCAACAACUGGCGAUCAGCGACGAAGACCAGCGACCAGUUCUAUCAGUGAGCGAGCAAGGACAAAGUUACCAUGUUAUAGUUGCCUAUGUUGAAUUUCCAUUGAUCCAUCUAAAUUACACUUUUAGGUGCCUCCUCAAGAGCAUUGUUGUCAGCAUAAACAAAACAACGUAUAGAAGAGAACAACACAUCCAAGGAAGUACUAUAACAGUUUAUAAUUGAUCCAAUUGUUUGUAGGUGCUGGCAACUUUUGCUGCUCUAUUUUCUCAUGGACCUACGUCUCAAAUUUCUCAGCUACCACGGUUGCGAUUUGAUCCACGUCUUUUAUUGCAUGGACAACAAUACAUAGAAAUUUACAAGGCACUUCCUUCUAGUGGUUGUUUAUGUUUAGCUGCUUGGAGGCUUGCCUUGAAUGCUUUGGAGGGAAAGUUUUUGUAAUCUGAGCAUGAUGGGAAAUGCCUUGGUUGUGUUGGUAUUGAAACUUUUCUAAUCCUUGUACAAUGGUAACAAUGAAGGGAACUUUGUAAUCUUUAAUGAAUAUAAAAUAAAUUUGGGAUCUACUUGUUUGUGAUUAAUGGGAUGUAGAUGUAAAUUUUCAUUUUUA